AACGAACGCUGGCGGCGUGCUUAACACAUGCAAGUCGAACGUGGAAGGGGGGUUCGCCCCCCGAGUAAAGUGGCGCACGGGUGAGUAACGCGUGGGUAACCUACCUCCGGGCGGGGGAUAACCAUCCGAAAGGGUGGCUAAUACCGCAUGAGACCACGAAGCCUCCGGGCUUUGGGGCCAAAGAUGCCGCAAGGUGUCACCUGGAGACGGGCCCGCGUACGAUUAGCUAGUUGGUAGGGUAACGGCCUACCAAGGCUUCGAUCGUUAGCUGGUCUGAGAUGAUGAUCAGCCACACUGGAACUGGAACACGGUCCAGACUCCUACGGGAGGCAGCAGUGAGGAAUAUUGCGCAAUGGGGGAAACCCUGACGCAGCAACGCCGCGUGGGUGAAGAAGGCCUUCGGGUCGUAAAGCCCUUUCAGACGGGACGAACGUCGGCCGGGGAUAACCCGGUCGAUCUGACGGUACCGUAAGAAGAAGCACCGGCUAACUCCGUGCCAGCCGCCGCCGUAAAAC
rnacentral:rRNA from 1 species